UACGUAGGGUGCAAGCGUUGUCCGGAAUUAUUGGGCGUAAAGAGCUCGUAGGCGGUUUGUCGCGUCGAAUGUGAAAACCCGGGGCUCAACCCCGGGCCUGCAUUCGAUACGGGCAGACUAGAGUUCGGUAGGGGAGUCUGGAAUUCCUGGUGUAGCGGUGAAAUGCGCAGAUAUCAGGAGGAACACCGGUGGCGAAGGCGGGACUCUGGGCAGAUACUGACGCUGAGGAGCGAAAGCGUGGGGAGCAAACAGG
rnacentral:rRNA from 1 species